rnacentral:rRNA from 1 species
UACGUAGGGUCCGAGCGUUGUCCGGAAUUACUGGGCGUAAAGAGCUCGUAGGUGGUUUGUCGCGUUGUUCGUGAAAACUCACAGCUUAACUGUGGGCGUGCGGGCGAUACGGGCAGACUGGAGUACUGCAGGGGAGACUGGAAUUCCUGGUGUAGCGGUGGAAUGCGCAGAUAUCAGGAGGAACACCGGUGGCGAAGGCAGGUCUCUGGGCAUUAACUGACGCUGAGGAGCGAAAGCAUGGGGAGCGAACAGG